AAUUAACUUUUGUAUAGAUAAAAACUGACAUGAAUUACGGACCAUUUUGAGUCAGCUAUCCAUCCCCCCUUUCCAAAUUUUAAUUUUACUAUCCAGCCGUUUAAUUUGUUUGAUUUGAGUCGAUCAACGGCACUUUGAUUCUUUACAGAUUUAAUAUAUUUCAUGUGAUUCCGGUAAUUAUAAAUUCAUUAAAAUAAAUAAUUAGCUUAAAUUUUAAAGUUAAAGAGCUGUUGGUUGACUCAAAUCAAAAAAAUUAAAAAAUUGAAUAAUAAAAUCAAACUUUUAAGAGAUCAGAUAGUACAUCAAAUAAGUUCUCUAUGUUUUUACCUUUUGUUUAUUGCAAUUUUAAUUAGCUUAGUAGAUUAAAUUAGAAAUUUGUAAAAAAAAUACGAACGAUAUUACCUAGGGCUUGUUUGGCAACUCUAUAAUUUUGUAGUAUUAUAGAAUAUAUAAUUUAUAUUUACAAGGUAAAAACACAUAAAACUUAUCUGAACUAUGAACUAUUCUGAAACAGCUAUCCAGUCUUUCAAAAUUUUGAUUUUACUAUCCAACUUUUUUAUUUAUUUGAUUCGAAUCAGCGAAUGGUACUUUGGCUUUAAAAUUUAAACGUGUCAUUUGUCUUAACAAGUUUAGUUAGUAUAUUUUAAAAUAUUUCAUAGUUUAGAUAAGUUAUGUAUAUUUUUACCUAUUUUACAAAGGGGUGUUUAGAUGCUCUUUUGGAGUGUAGAAAAAUAGCAAAAAAUACCGACCGUCCCUAGAGCAAGUGACAAAGGGCUUGGUGGUUGGUAUCUGAGAUCCAAGUUCGAAUCCUAAUUGAUUCACAUUUCCAGCUAAGUUUAUUUUUAAAUGAAAUAAAAGAAGCGGGUAGCGUGCUACCUAUCUCUCAAAAAAAGAAAAAUAGCAAAAAAUGCUUCAGAAAUACUGUAAAUUUGUUGCGAAAAUA
rnacentral:lncRNA from 1 species